UUUCGCAGUCGAUAAUCCACUCCACUAGUUCCAUAAAUGUCGAGGCGCUUGAAAUGGGACGCGCAGUAAACUUUUUACCAUAAUUUCUCUUAAUAAGCCAUAGUUUUCUUUAAUAUUCUUGCGCCACAUUUUAGUUUUCACUUUCACUUUCGUUUUACAAUAGCCCGGUUAUCAUUGCAGUAGUUUGACAGUUUCAUUUGACAGAUCCGUUUGACAGCAGUAGUAUCAAGCAACUCCCAGCAUAGCAAAACAUUCCAUUAAACCCAAAGUAAACAAUAUGUUGUGGCAACAAUAAUAUUUAAUUCACAGUGAAUGCUCAGAUAUAAGAGUUUGAGAUUGUUUUGAUUAGAGGCUCAGAUAUUUCUGGGGUUAAUUAAGAUUGUAUUUGAAUUGUUUUGGUUCUCAGACAUUUCUGAGGUGAAAUUAGAAUUCAUUGGAAAUAGGACUUUUCUCAGACGUUUCUGAGGUAAAUUGUAUCGAUUCGAAGAAUUUGUAAAUCUGCUCAGACAUUUCUGAGGUCAAUUGAAGUAAGAAAGUUAAUGUAAGAAAUUCAAUUAGAAAAAAAAAAAUGCCACAGCACAAUGAAAAAUAAUUCUCAUUCAAUAGUAUAGUCCGUAAACCAGAUACUUCGUUCAAUCAAUCAUGUGUUAGUCUGUAAUAAUAAAUUAGAUGUCUGAUUUAGGAAUAAAUUGAAGAAUAAAAAUUUCAAAAUUUCAUUUCAUAAUUUUUAUUUUGUUAGGAUGGGCGAGAAUGUAAGAACAUUGUGAACCCAACUUAAAGCGUUUGUCGUUUAAUUUAUGUUUCGCGUAUUUUGCUGUCUGAUUUCGUGCUGUGUAUUGCUCAAUGUAAGUUUUCAUUUACCCUGACGUGACGAUGCAGUCAGUGGAUUUGAAAGUCUAGCAAAGACAGUAACCUAUAUUAGCCACCUAUGUGUCAAGAACUGAAGUAGCACAGAAGGAUUAGAAAUUUGAAUUUAUUGCGUCGUUCAUGAUCUAAUGCGUCGUUGUAAAACAGCCAGAUUUGAUUGUAAUUUACAACAAUAGUUCGUAUUACGUCGUAAAUUAAACUCUCUGUAACCGACCAAUAAGAGGGAAACACGUAGCCACGACUAGGCUGAAGCCAAUCUAACUCGCGUCGGUUUCCUCAUUAUAGUGGAGUGCUUACUAGAGUUCAGUUGAAAACUUACAGUCUUUUUUAAAAAGUGAAUUUGAACGACGCCAUACUAAACUCGGAUUUAUAUAUUUAUCGAGUGUGAUUCAGUUUAAGACUGAAAUUGUUGCGAACCUAGUUAAUAUUUUCGACUUUGAAUUCAGGACAAAAGCCCGUUCUCGUGGGCGGUUUGUGCGGAGUUGGUGCACUGUUCGAAGCACGUGGUACCAAACGUCGUGACCGUUGGGUCCGACAUCUAUAAGACGUCGAGUGAACCGUCGUUGGAAAGCCACGUCUGCGACGCCGUCGACGCGUUGGUUUCACCGAAAGCUCAGUGGGCGUCGUUUCGUCGAUAGGAUACACCCGUCCCAGAGCCGCAUCGAACCACAACGUAACUUGCACGUGGUAGGCGUUACGACUCGCAAGUAAAUAAGCCGCGUGGCGUUUGCCGAGCAAUAUUAACGGCAAUCACUCCACUGUGCUAGGGGAUAUUUGUACCCCGAAACUCAACGCCAGCGCGCGAGUCAACUGGGUGGUGUGAAAGCUUUUCCUUGGUAUCGACAACGGCGACGCAAAGCAAGGUGAGUUGCGUCCAGCCUACUUUCGCUUGUGGCAUCCACGAAAGCUCGAAUUCGACUGCAGAUUGCAUCCGACGUGGGAACGCCGGCAUUGAGAAGAAGCUAAGGUCAGAUCUGUCCAUCUUGAAGCUCGAAUUUCAGUUACCUACAAACGAAACAGAAAUUAUUAGCAGUUUUGCAUUUUGAACGUGACGUCACACACGGUUAGGGAAUUAGGCUUUCCUUAAUUUAAAAAUUUCAAUAAAU